AUGUCCGCUACUGCUGCUAUCAAUGGAAUCAAGGCGGACUAUGUUGCUGCACUCCUUGGAAAAUAUGGGAAUAAUAUCCCUUACAACAUCAUUUCUUCCAUCAACUAUGCUAGCUGUUGUUAUGGCGUUAAAGGGUUAGUUAAUGCGGCAAAAACCAUUGUUGACCUCCGUGCAAAUUGUGAUUGCUUGAUGUCCGCUACUGCUGCUAUCAAUGGAAUCAAGGCGGACUAUGUUGCUGCACUCCUUGGAAAAUAUGGGAAUAAUAUCCCUUACAACAUCAUUUCUUCCAUCAACUAUGCUAGGUAUACAUGCAUUAUCUAA